ACCAGACUCCUACGGGAGGCAGCAGUGGGGAAUAUUGCACAAUGGGGGAAACCCUGAUGCAGCGACGCCGCGUGAGUGAAGAAGUAUUUCGGUAUGUAAAGCUCUAUCAGCAGGGAAGAUAAUGACGGUACCUGACUAAGAAGCCCCGGCUAACUACGUGCCAGCAGCCGCGGUAAUACGUAGGGGGCAAGCGUUAUCCGGAUUUACUGGGUGUAAAGGGUGCGCAGGUGGCAGGGCAAGUCAGAUGUGAAAGCCCGGGGCUCAACCCCGGUAUUGCAUUUGAAACUGUCCGGCUAGAGUGCAGGAGAGGUAAGCGGAAUUCCUAGUGUAGCGGUGAAAUGCGUAGAUAUUAGGAGGAACACCAGUGGCGAAGGCGGCUUACUGGACAGUAACUGACGUUGAGGCUCGAAAGCGUGGGGAGCAAACAGGAUUAGAUACCCGCGUAACA
rnacentral:rRNA from 1 species